UAAGUCGGCUAGCAAACUACUAAUGCAUCGGAUCUCAUCAGAAUUUUUCGCAGUUAAAUGUGUUUGGACGAAGAUAGUACUAGGAUGAGUGACCUCUUGGAAAGUCCUUGUGUUGUACCAC
rnacentral:rRNA from 1 species